rnacentral:tRNA from 1 species
GAGGUUGUAGCUCAGUGAUAGAGCACUUGCCUAGCAUGUGUGAGGCACUGGGUUCAAUUCUCAGCACCACA